UGCUCUGAGCUUGGAUUUUCCCUGUGGCAGGUGACGAUGGAAGGGGAAACAGCUUGAUCCCAACUGCAGCCGUCAUAUUAAUCCUCUGUGCUUUGACCCAGACUUUAACUUGUUUUAGCUUGCAUCAGCUGAGCAAAAUAGUUAGUAAAGAUGAAGUUAGUGGGGCGAUGGUGACAGAAGUUAGGACAAGAAGAAUUCUCCUGAAUGGGAAAGAGUUUAAUUCCAAGUCAGGAUCUGCUUCUGCUCCUACCACAGGAAAUGAUGGAUUGCUGCAUAUUGACUCAAAACAAUCUGAUGGCAGAGGGUUGUUGGAGACCUCAUAUAGCUGGGGAACAACAUGGUUGAUGAAGCGGCAUGGAGGUGCUUGAAUAUUUCCCUGACAUGUGGACAAGGCAAGAUGAAGUUUAAAGCAAUGGGACCUGGAGCUUCUGACUUUCAGCUGGACAUGGGCAACGCCAAUUCCCUGCAUUUGAUCCAGGUGCCUAAAAUCUGUGGCUAUACAAUGCGGCAAAAUGAGCUUGGCCUCGUUUUGGUUGUUCCAUAUGAUGGCUGCAAUGUGAUAGAGAAUGGAGAGUACGCAUUGGUUGGAGACUACAGUAAAGUUCACCUGCCACAUGUUGAAAAGUUCGGCUUCUGCUACCCAGAAGCCUGCUCGUCAGCCAACGAGACUUCCAUUCCCUCAAGCCCUGGAGCGUGAAUCGUCAUAAGCGUCAUUUAAUACAGCCCAACUACGAUCCUUAUCUCUAUUACUAUAUGUAUUACUUGAGUAUGUUGACGCCGCCACAACUGCUGCUACAACUACUGCUCAACCUGACACCACCCCUGUUACGCCAUCUAUGGACCCCCCUCAAACCAUGCCUCCUGGAUAUCCAUAUUAUUACUAUUAUUAUCCUUACUACUAUCCAUAUACCCUCAAAAUGCCCCAGUUAUCACUACCACUGCCACACCUACUACUGGACCUGUCACUAGUGGGAUGACUACUACAGCCACAACCAUGCCGACCACAACGACUGCUGCCCCAACCACGGUGCCGACCACCACGAUGCUGACCACCACAAUGCCGACGAUGACUUCUCAAAUGCCAACUUACCCAUAUUAUCCAAAUCCUUACUACCCUCCAGGAUUCCCGUUCAAUCUUUACUACUACCCAUAUAACCAGCCUUUCUUUGGAAAUCCUCCAUACCCUACAUAUGCACCCAUGCAAACUAAAAUGCCUCCAAUUGGCACAACGACGCAAGGUACAACUGCUCCCACCACAACACCAAAUAACGCAAGUCCUACGACGAUGGCAACAACUGUUUCUGCUUCGACUCCUGCAACCACUUCUGCUCCUACAACCACUUCUGCUCCUACAACCACUUGCUUAACGACACAAACACCAAGCAAUAACUACCCAGGCCAAAUUGGUCCAUAUACAAUGAGCUUCCCUUUACUCCAUACGUUUCAUACAAGGCUGGUAAACUCCCAGAUGACCAGAAGUACAUGCCUCAAGCUGGCUACAAAUCUGGUCUCCAGGCUCAAGCACAUCCAGGGUUUAACAACUGCAUGGCAAACUGUGCCCUGGUAUCCACACUCAAUGGGGGAGAACAAUCUAUUUGAUUGGACACUGCCUGAGGCAGAUUAACUCUAAAUGGGGCUGGUGUCCUGCAAUACUGAGCAUUGAAUAAACCAGUUUAAAUUUUAA